UACGUAGGGGGCAAGCGUUGUCCGGAAUCAUUGGGCGUAAAGCGCGUGUAGGCGGCCCGGUAAGUCCGCUGUGAAAGUCGGGGGCUCAACCCUCGAAUGCCGGUGGAUACUGUCGGGCUAGAGUGCGGGAGAGGCGAGUGGAAUUCCUGGUGUAGCGGUGAAAUGCGCAGAUAUCAGGAGGAACACCGACGGCGAAGGCAGCACUCUGGGCCGGUACUGACGCUGAGGAGCGAAAGCAUGGGGAGCGAACAGG
rnacentral:rRNA from 1 species